GAGUCAUUAGCUCAGUUGGUAGAGCAUCUGACUUUUAAUCAGAUGGUCGUAGGUUCGAAUCCUACAUGACUCAUCA
rnacentral:tRNA from 1 species